AGAGUUUGAUCCUGGCUCAGAACGAACGCUGGCGGCAGGCUUAACACAUGCAAGUUGAACGGGAUUUGUAUGGUGCUUGCACCAUGUAAUGAGAGUAGCGCACUGGUGAGUAACACGUGGGAACAUACCUUGAAGUGGGGGACAACAGUUGGAAACGACUGCUAAUACCGCAUAAUCCCUGAGGGGGAAAGAUUUAUCGCUUUAAGAUUGGCCCGCGGAAGAUUAGGUAGUUGGUGGGGUAAAGGCCUACCAAGCCGACGAUCUAUAGCUGGUCUGAGAGGACGAACAGCCACAUUGGAACUGAGACACGGUCCAGACUCCUACGGGAGGCAGCAGUGAGGAAUAUUGGGCAAUGGAGGAAACUCUGACCCAGCCAUGCCGCGUGAGUGAAGAAGGUUUUCGAAUUGUAAAGCUCUUUCGGAUGGGACGAUGAUGACGGUACCAUCUAAAGAAGCCCCGGCAAACUUCGUGCCAGCAGCCGCGGUAAUACGAAGGGGGCAAGCGUUGUUCGGAAUUACUGGGCGUAAAGGGUGUGUAGGCGGAUUUGUAAGAUAGUGGUGAAAUACCUGAGCUCAACUUAGGAAUUGCCAUUAUAACUAUAGAUCUGGAGUGACAGAGAGGAUAUUGGAAUACCCAGUGUAGAGGUGAAAUUCGUAGAUAUUGGGUAGAACACCAGUGGCGAAGGCGAGUAUCUGGCUGUCAACUGACGCUGAGGCACGAAAGCAUGGGGAUCAAACAGGAUUAGAUACCCUGGUAGUCCAUGCUGUAAACGAU
rnacentral:rRNA from 1 species